rnacentral:tmRNA from 1 species
GGGGAUGCACCGGCUUCGACUGAGGUGAUUCGCGAUCUUGAGUUGCAGGUGGAGUGCCGACCUCCUGAUUCGGCAAAAACAUUAACUGCCAAAAAAGAAGAAAACUUCGAAGAGCAGUACGCUCUCGCUGCGUAAGCAGUGAAGACCGGAACCCGGACUGUGCCGCCUUGAACGGUCCGGUGUUCUGACGCCAACCAGGGCUUGCCAUACAGAGUGUCCGGUAUCUGUAUGGGACGUUAAUCGGAAUACGGGAUCGACGCUUGCGGUGCUGACACCGGUCCCCGACAACUACCUCGCGCCGAUAAACCUGUAGAGAUUCCUGGUCCGCACUUUAGGACGGGGGUUCGACUCCCCCCAUCUCCAUGU